rnacentral:rRNA from 1 species
CCUACGGGAGGCAGCAGUGGGGAAUAUUGGGCAAUGGGCGCAAGCCUGACCCAGCAACGCCGCGUGAAGGAAGAAGGCUUUCGGGUUGUAAACUUCUUUUGUCAGGGAAGAGUAGAAGACGGUACAUGACGAAUAAGCCACGGCUAACUACGUGCCAGCAGCCGCGGUAAUACGGAGGUGGCAAGCGUUGUCCGGAUUUCCUGGGGGGAAAGGGCGGGUAGCCGGGUGGAAAAGUCAGAUGUGAAAUCCGGGGGCUCAACCCCCGAACUGCAUUUGAAACUGUUGGUCUUGAGUAUCGGAGAGGCAGGCGGAAUUCCUAGUGUAGCGGUGAAAUGCGUAGAUAUACGGAGGAACACCAGUGGCGAAGGCGGAUUGCUGGACAGUAACUGACGCUGAGGCGCGACAGCGUGGGGAGCAAACAGGAUUAGAUACCCGGGUAGUC